rnacentral:lncRNA from 1 species
UUACAGCGAGAAAAGUGAGACUAUUCACGUCACUCAUAGCUAAGGCUUUAUCAAAAUGGCAAAAUUUUUUGGCAUUGCACAAAUUGCUGAUGUAACAAAGCUUGGGAAAUCCACUGGCCACCUCGAAGGGAGUAUGGAUGAUUUGUCGUCACUCGUCAGUUUCCUGAGUCAUAUUCAUGUUUGUCAACAAAAGGAAGAAGAUGGGGCAGUAACAGUUUUUUUUUCUCUAGGUAAGCGUGACAAAUCAAGGUUGGUUUCAAAUGUGAAUAUACGACUUCUUCAUCUUCAACAAAGGUCGUGUAUUCGAUAAGCAACUUAUGAUUAUAGAACAUGCCCUUUCCGGCUCGUGACGGUAAUCGACGUCGAAUUUAUCUAAAUUUUUUUCUUAAAAAAAUAAAAAAAGAAAAGAAGAUGAUUUCAAGCAUUGGCAUGUUUUUAAGUGUGAAAAGUUUAAAUCCGUUGUACAAAAGCUAAUGAGAAUUGACAAGUA